AUUUGUUUAUUUUUUACAAAAUCAACCGGAAAUCAUUUGGGAAAUGUAUGUGUAUAAUGUUGAAUAAUUUACAAAGUGAUUGUUUCAUCAUAAUAACGCGAAAGUUGAAUCAAUGGUUUUUCGGGUAUACCCAGCAGCUGACUGACCCAUCUGAUCACAUCUUCCAAAUUCAAUGUUUGUGCAUGUAUACGUGCAUGUUGUUUUAUUCCGUUAACUCUGUUGAGAAAGUGAGUUUAAAGAACUCGUAUCUCCCGCGCCUGCAUGUGCUGCCCUAUAUGGGGGGAAAGACAGUUUUGAGCUGUCGACGAGAGGAGCGUGUGUGUGGACGGUUGAGAGGGGGGGAAGGUCAGUCUUCCGGAAAACGUGUCGAGCGUAGUAACGUCGAUUUCUUUUGUAUUAAAUAAAGUUAUCUUUCUUCAUCGCUUAUCAUCAACGUGUACCGUGUACUAAUUGAUCCACUAAAACCAUUCCUGCUCAUCCUGAAUAAUCCAACAAACUCUACAGAACUGUGGCGCGUCCAUGUUCUUCGAAUCCCGGUGACUUAUUUACGAUGUCCGUUAGGCGAGAAAUGUGAAUCAGUCAAGUGACUCUUAUAAACAUUCAGAAGGCUGAUGAUUUUUACGAUCUUUAUGGAGGUGAAAAAUUUGUCACUCUCUCGGAUCUCGGAGCUCGUCCAGCUUUACAUGGAGAAUGGGUGGACAGUUUUUUGAGAGAAAAAAAACAGUGAACUUAUUCAACUCAAGUAUCCUCUAAAUCGUGCGGAUCCAACAACCUAAAGAUGCGUAGUUUCAUGGACGUUUAUCCGUCAAACAAGACGAAAGUUUGAUGCUCGAGCGAGGAAAGAACGGAUAUUUUCUCGUCCGCGAAUCGCAGAGCAAACCAGAAGACUUUGUUUUAUCGCUCAGCACCACUGAUGAUCGUGUGUUUUUACUCAUGAUAUGAUACGAUCUCGGAUUCGAAAGCAUUCUAUCACCGUUUUGAAUAUCUCAUGAACGUCGAUUUGCUUAAUUGACCGUCACAUUGCAGGUGGAAAGAUCAGCAGGUUUUCAAGAUCUGAAAUAUAACGUUGGUGGGCGCUGGAGAAAUUUGAUAGUUUGAGCAAUCUGAUGGAGCACGUACUACAAAAUAAAUUUCAUGGUUGAAAUAAGCAGGAGUGUUGCACAUGUAGGACAAUCGUUUUGUGCUACGCGAAUCAACAUUAGUGGCAUAGACAUGAGUCGAGUGAAGCAAUUGCGCAAAGAAAAUGGCUGCUGGAACGUUACAGCGACUGACAACGAGGCAACAGCUGCACGUGCGAAAGGAAAAGCUCGUAUUGGGAACAAAUUGAAUCUCUGCAACGGCUCGAAUGUCGUCAUCGUGUCUCGAGGAAAUAUUAGGGUCUUAGAACGAAGAAUCGAGCAAAGAAUCAUCAUAAGAACAUCUUGUUAGCAAUGCCAGUGCUGUAUUCUUGCCAUACAUCUCAUGAUUAUCAAAUCAAAUGCGCUACAGGCCUGUAGUCGCUUAAUUAGUUCACAUCCGUAAAACGGUGAUAAUCUGGGUGACGGUUUUGUUCAACUGUCGAAAACUUGUUUCGCAAAGUCAUUAAAACUUGAUUCUCACUCAAUAUUGGAUUGAAAUCUUGGAAGGGAAAUAAAAACACGUUCUACUUCAAGUUGCCUACAAGAAUGCUGCAACCAAGAAUGAACAUGUCGAAACACUUUUUGAGAUGAUGACUUUGUACUCGGAAUUUAUCAACUCGAUGCUGAGCACUCGAAACUUGAAAGGACAUUCAGUGGAACCAAUUCUAAUUCUCAUUCAUAAGGAUCACUCGACAAUGUCAUCGUCACACAGAUACACCCUCUCUUUACUUGGGAGUUUACAACACGAUUCUUAGCGACACCGAUCAAUUAAUGUUGCUUGUAAUAAAAAUAUUUUUAUGUUAUUUCUUCAACGUAUCCGUUCGAAAAAAUUCCUACAUUUAUAAAAUGUAAUCUCACCACAGUUGUUAUAAAUAGGGAAUCGCACUCGGCUAUAUAAAUAAUAAUAAUUGUAGCUUCGUACGACGUCUAUAUUUCAGAGCAUACGAAAUAUUGCUGCAUGUAAUUGCUAUUCGCAUUUUAACUUUUUCCAGAGAUCGUGCCUGAGCGUGGCUUCCUAAAAAAUUUACGAUUAUUCUUUUCAUUCGCAACUGCUGUUCUCGUGAUUUCGUUGCCUGCGCUGCCAGCACAGUUACUCAUCGGAGCGGUGCUCUCGCACUAGUUUUUCGUAGCUUCCGGUAGUGCUUACGUGCGACGUGCGUGGAAAUUCGCCUCGUUGCUAACGUACCGCCGUUAUUUCCCGUUUCGACUUUCAUUACUUUCAUUUUAAAGCCAUCAGGCGAUUCCUGGAGAAACAAUUUAUUUUUCACGUAAUUAAUCAAGAUUGUUUAUUCAAAAUAUUACGAUAAUCAUUGAAUAUUUUAUAAAUCGAAUUUGAAAGCUAGGCAUCAUUGUGCGAUUAAGAGUAACUUUGUUUCAUAUUUUCAGAUUAAAAAAAAAGUCUUUGCAUCAGGUUGUUGGUCGCGUCUCGACUUGCCUCGCUCGCUCCCUCGUGCCCUCCCGUCACGACGGACAACCCCCACGAAUCUUGUUUAUUCACCGAUUAAAAUGUCACAAUUCCAAAAUUAACUGUUGCAAUUAUUUCAAAGCUCGUAGCAGAUUGAACAUACUUUUGAAUAAUAUGGCUAUGGCAUGGAACGCACAACUUUAUAAUAUAUGGAUGUUGCACACUCUCAAAUCUGUCGUUAAAAAUCAUAAAUUAGAAAGACUAUUUUCUUGAAAACUCUCGAUGAGCCAUAUAUUUUUUACAAUAAUUCGUAGAGGCUUAUAUUAUUAUAACUCUUAUAAAACCAUUGAGGUAUGCUCUGAUUCGUCAAGAUUUGAACAAGUUGGUGAAAAUUAGCAAAAAAAUGUAUAUGGGGACGUUGACGAUAUCAUUGAUACGUUGGUAAACGACGCUGAAUAUGUUGGCCAGGAUAGAUGAUGAUCCGAAAGUGCUUGAUGACGAAAUGGUAUAGGUAGCUAUAGGUAGCAAAAAGAUAACCUGCUCAGGAAUUUUCAAUUUCCAUGCAGUGAGUAAACGAAUUUUUUAACCUCUUUCAAGAUAAAAUGCCUAAAUUUACGAUCACGGAGAGAAUUUUUAUACCUGAAUUCCAACUAAAAUAUUAUGUACUACCUACGCGUUGAGCAAAUGCCGAAAAAAACUUUGAUCUAUAAUAAAAUUAUAUUUUUAUUCUGAAAACAA